GCGCGUUGAAAUUUUAUCUUUUUCAUCAGAAAGCACAACGCCCGGAUCAGGAUCAACAGAAUCCAUUUCUUCUAGUUUUCUUGGUGCGGUUAAUGAUUUAAAUGAAAUUUCGUUAUUAGGAAUUUUAAAAUCUAACGUGAAUGGAAAUGCUGUUUUAAAUUACUUUGAAAAUAAUCAAAGUUUAUCAACAAAGACUCGGAAACUUUUAUGUUCCUCGAUCACGGAAUACUUAAUUUAUAACAAAAUUAAGCCAACAUGAUUUUAUUUUUCGAAUUUAGCGGACAAAAUUAUACAACUUUUCCCAAAGGAAUCUAAGGAUACUUACUACUUAUACAAAAAGUGUAAAAAGCCAAGUGGCAAUUUAUACGCGCACUACCACAAUAGCAUUUACAAACUACGAAAAGCCCAAGUUUCUGUUAAUCCUGAACCAGCAAAACUGCG